GAUGAAGAACGUAGCGAAAUGCGAUAAGUAAUGUGAAUUGCAGAAUUCAGUGAAUCAUCGAAUCUUUGAACGCACCUUGCGCCCUUUGGCUAUUCCGAAGGGCAUGCCUGUUUGAGUACCAUGAACACCUCAACUCUUCACGGCUUGCCGUGAUGAGUUUGGACUUUGGGGGUCUUGCUGGCCUACGAGCCAGCUCCUCUCAAAUGUAUUAGCUUGCCGGUGUUUGGUGGCAUCACAGGUGUGAUAACUAUCUACGCUUGUGGUUUUCCACUAGGUAACCUUCAGCAAUGGAGGUUCACCGGAGCUCACAAAUGUCUCUCCUUGCCAAGGACAGAUUUUGACCAUUUGAUCUCAAAUCAGGUAGGACUACCCGCUGAACUUAAGCAUAUCAAUAAGCGGAGGA
rnacentral:misc_RNA from 1 species